rnacentral:rRNA from 1 species
GGAAUAUUGGACAAUGGGCGAAAGCCUGAUCCAGCGACGCCGCGUGUGUGAAGAAGGCCUGCGGGUUGUAAAGCACUUUCGAUGGGAACGAAAUGUGCCGGGCUAAUACCCCGGCACGCUGACGUUCCUCAAUGAAGCAGCACCGGCCAACUCUGUGCCAGCAGCCGCGGUAAUAACGAGGGUGCGAGCGUUAAUCGGAAUUACUGGGCGUAAAGCGCACGUAAGUGGCGACGUAAGUCGGGUGUGAAAGCCCCGGGCUCAACCUGGGAAUUGCAUUCGAGACUGCAUUGCUGGAGUACGGAAGAGGAGGGCGGAAUUCCCGGUGUAGCGGUGAAAUGCGUAGAUAUCGGGAGGAACAUCAGUGGCGAAGGCGGCCCUCUGGUCCAGUACUGACACUCAAGUGCGAAAGCGUGGGGAGCAAAC